rnacentral:lncRNA from 1 species
GUCCCUGGCCCGGCCCUCCUUCAGUUUAGUUGAGGAUACCACAUUAGAGCCAGAAGAGCCACCAACCAAAUACCAAAUCUCUCAACCAGAAGUGUACGUGGCUGCGCCAGGGGAGUCGCUAGAGGUGCGCUGCCUGUUGAAAGAUGCCGCCGUGAUCAGUUGGACUAAGGAUGGGGUGCACUUGGGGCCCAACAAUAGGACAGUGCUUAUUGGGGAGUACUUGCAGAUAAAGGGCGCCACGCCUAGAGACUCCGGCCUCUAUGCUUGUACUGCCAGUAGGACUGUAGACAGUGAAACUUGGUACUUCAUGGUGAAUGUCACAGAUGCCAUCUCAUCCGGAGAUGAUGAGGAUGACACCGAUGGUGCGGAAGAUUUUGUCAGUGAGAACAGUAACAACAAGAGUAAGUAACUGCCCGGCUCCGAUGGUCCCCGAGAGAGGAGCAUGGAGGGAAGUUCUGCCUGUCACCUGUCUUCUUGUCGACUCUUCUGCGCCAUGCUGUGUCCCGCGGCCCUUGCCUUUCCCCGCUGUGUCUACUUUCCUGACUUUCAAACCUGAGAAUAAACCAGUGUUGCUGCACA